UAUGUAGAGUAUGUCAUAUCUUUAUUUCAUUAAUUAAAAAAAUAAGAAUCCACGUUUAGUUAAAAACCUAAAUGCUCUUCUUCUUCGUUGCUUUACCUUGCAGCGCCGCUGGCGCUGUAGAAACUCAGAUCUCUUCCUCUUCGAUUUAGCUCCGAUCUCUACCUCUUCAAUGUAGUUCUGAUCUCUUCCUCCUCGACUCGCCAUGAGUCUCUCCAGCCGACAGGCUGACCACCAUCGCGCUAAACCCUCUGAUUCUGAUCUAACAGGUCAUACAGAUUGGAAGCGUUAAACUCAAGCCACUCAACCGCUCUUCUUUCUCCGCCUCUGUUUUCUCUCCGUCUCUCCGAUUCACAAGCUUUUGACAGCGAAAGAUUCUCACCGCCG